UCCCUGGCAGUCCAGUGGUUAAGACUCUGCACUUUCAAAGCAGGGGGUGCAGGUUUGAUUCCUGGUCAGAGAA
rnacentral:tRNA from 1 species